UACAGAGGUCCCAAGCGUUGUUCGGAUUCAUUGGGCGUAAAGGGUGCGUAGGUGGCGCGGUAAGUCGGGUGUGAAAUUUCGGAGCUUAACUCCGAAACUGCAUUCGAUACUGCCGUGCUUGAGGACUGGAGAGGAGACUGGAAUUUACGGUGUAGGCGGUGAAAUGCGUAGAUAUCGAUAAGGAAGACCAGUGGCGAAGGCGGGUCGUCCUGGACAGUUCCUGACGCUGAGGCACGAAGGCCAGGGGAGCAAACGGG
rnacentral:rRNA from 1 species